UACGUAGGUGGCAAGCGUUGUCCGGAUUUAUUGGGUUUAAAGGGUGCGUAGGCGGUCCAUUAAGUCAGUUGUGAAAUACGGCAGCUUAACUUUCGAGGUGCAAUUGAUACUGGAGGACUUGAGUACAGACGAGGUAGGCGGAAUUGACGGUGUAGCGGUGAAAUGCAUAGAUAUGACAUAGAACACCAAUGGCGAAGGCAGCUGGCUAGACAAAUAUUGACGCUGAGGCACGAAAGCGUGGGGAGCAAACAGG
rnacentral:rRNA from 1 species